CGACAAUUUGGUUGGACCAUAGAAGACAUAUUUUUCAAGAAGCAGACCCAUUAAAUCCAAAAUCCAUUAAAAUGAUGUCUGUUAAAUUGAGUAGAAUGUUUAAUGAUUCUACUGAGAGCCCCAAAAAUAGGGCAGUAGUAGAAGAGGUCAUCUUAGUCUUAGUCUUAGUCUUGGACCUGCAUUAGGAUUAUUAACUCAGUACUCAAGAAUUUAUGCAAAUGUAUCACCAAAGCUACACAGUCUUUGAAUUAAAAUAAACUUAAAUAGUUGAUGCUUUCUACUAGCAUAUCUUUACAAGCUUAUCCUCCACUAAAUGUUCCUCUAUUGGCAAAGCAAGUAUGGGUCUCACGGAAGGAAACAUAAAAUUUAACCCGGUAGCAGCGAUGGGCCAAAUUCGUAGCUCUACCGUGUAGCAGUGACGGGCCAAAUUUGUGCCAUGAUAUAAACCCCCCAAAAUUGAUGAUACAUAAUCUGAUCACAAAUGCUUUGAUAUACAUUAUGAAAUGGUUUGUGUGAUAGGUGAUUUUUUUCUCAUUUUUCUCACUUGGAGGGACCAUUAAGAAACAUGAUCCCCGCUGCUACCGGGUUAAGCAAGCCACUUUGUAAACACCCAAAUCAUGUGCUAUUACAUUUGAGAGCAGAUGAUAAAAAAUGAAGUUGUUUAUCAGGCAGAACUAAUGCACUCCUGUAUAAACUUAAGUGGGGGUUGACUUAUUUUUGACCCUUAGACUAUGGGUGUAGUUAUAUAAAUCAGCAGCAGCCUUAGUCAUAACUACAGGUGCCAUUAAAUAACGCCUCUGACUUUACUGAAUCUAACUGAACAAACUGUAUUGCACUGAUCAGACAUUUUUGUAUUUUUUUAAAACAAAAAUAUCCUGAAACUCACAGCUAAUGACCCCUCACUCACAUUCCCACCUCUUCUUUUUUUUUUUUACAUCCCCGCCUAUAGUGCCGGUAGGCUUUCUUUGGGGGACAGAUGGUUGCCCCAAGCCCAUCGUGGUGCAGGCAAUUUUUUAUAGUGGCGCCAGUCAUGCUUGGCUCAUGCCGCCCCCUGGAACUCAUUCUUGAUUCACUGGACGGUUUCUUCUAGAGUCCGGGUUGAUGGGUGGUCUUCUGGACAGCAUGUGGGUAGUCUUAGGCCACUCGGCAGUGACUGAAAAAUCCCAGGUGGUAGCGUGGGGAUUCGAACCGACGUUGUCCAUGGCGUGGUGAAUGUGAGCCCAGCAUGCUAACCACUCAGCCACCGCCUACCCUGCUCCUAUGAAAGCUCAAGUGAAGAUCUACAACUUCAGUCAUUGUCAAGAUCAAGGAGUGGCCACCAGAUGUCUCACGCAACUGGACUCACACGGCGCUUCGGCCACACUGCCAGUUCUUCCCGUGCGCCACUUGAACAACAAUACAGUACCCACGCUGCCACGCUACUCAACAACAACACCCUCGCUGCUGUGCUACCACGAGGGGAAGGGCAGCCAGAGGAGGAACCACGAGAGGGAGAGGAGUCAGAUUGAUACAGUAGGCAAUAAAGGUACAAACC